GACGAACGCUGGCGGCGUGCUUAACACAUGCAAGUCGAACGGAAAGGCCCCCAUCUUGGUGGGGGUGCUCGAGUGGCGAACGGGUGAGUAACACGUGGGUGAUCUGCCCUGUACUUCGGGAUAAGCUUGGGAAACUGGGUCUAAUACCGGAUAGGACCAUGGUUUAGUGUCUCAUGGUGGAAAGAUUAUUGUUUUGGUGCAGGAUGAGCUCGCGGCCUGUCAGCUUGUUGGUGGGGUAAUGGCCUACCAAGGCGUCGACGGGUAGCCGGCCUGAGAGGGUGGACGGCCACAUUGGGACUGAGAUACGGCCCAGACUCCUACGGGAGGCAGCAGUGGGGAAUAUUGCACAAUGGGCGCAAGCCUGAUGCAGCGACGCCGCGUGGGGGAUGACGGCCUUCGGGUUGUAAACUCCUUUCGUUAGGGACGAAGCCGCACUUUUUUUGGGUGUGGUGACGGUACCUUUGUUAAGAAGCACCGGCUAACUACGUG
rnacentral:rRNA from 1 species